UAGGUGAACCUGCGGAAGGAUCAUUACUUUAUGUGAUGUUCAAAUUUGAAUUCGCAAUGAAAUGAUCGUUGUGAAACGGCUGUCGCUGGUGUCUAAGUGUUGCUGAUACGGUUGUGAACGUCCGUGGCUGUAUAUGUGGUGACAUGUUAGGACUCUAAUGAGUUUAAGACCUAAUGAGCCUCUUAAGUGAGGCCGCCAGCAACCUUUUUUUUCUCUACAUUUUAAAAAAAAAACUAAAAUUCUACCCUUAUCGGUGGAUCACUAGGCUCGUGGAUCGAUGAAGAACGCAGCAAACUGCGAUAAUUAUUGCGAACUGCAGAAGUAUUGAGCACAAAAGUUUUGAACGCAAACGGCCGCAUUGAGGUCAAACUCUUUGCAACGUCUGGUUCAGGGUCAUUUUCUCUUAUAGCGGAAGCUUUAAUUUCUAUAAUGAUGUUGUUGCUUUAUAUUUUAAAAGGAUUUUUGUUUAUUCAUGUAUUAAAUCUAACUGUGAAAAUCAAACAAUUUUGACCUGAACUCAGUCGAGAGCACCCGCUGAACUUAAGCAUAUCAGUAAGCGGAGGAAAAGAAACUAACCAGG
rnacentral:rRNA from 1 species